GUCUCUCUCUACCUCUGGAGGUGGAAUAUCAGGAGAAAAACAGCUACAGCUGUGUGAUCAACAAUCCCAUCAGAAACCAGACCACACAUCUGGACAUCACUCAACUCUGUCACACAUGUUCAGAUUUGGUGAAGCUGUGAUCCGAUUGGUCCUCUUUGCUCUGGUGGGCGUGGCUACUGUCCUUGUUCGUGACAUCUGAUCCAGGACUGAAUAAGAUUAAGCACAUAUGAUGAUGUGAUUUCAGUGAUUGACAUUUAAAUAAUUGAAUCUCCAUUUAUUUAUAAUGACUUUAUAUAUUCAUCUCCUGGUAUCAAUGUUAAUUUCCACUCUAAAAGAGGAUUUCAAAAACGCUUGAUUGCUUGUUAAACCUGUUGUGAUCAGAUUUUUUCACAGCUAAUGUGGUGUGACGUUUGAUGCAUACUAUGCAUGAUUCUUUUGUGAUGUGAUGCCAGUUUAAUAUACCACAGAAUGCUAAUAACUGAACAUCAUCUCAGUCUGUGAAUGUUUCUUGUUUCAGCAGUGCAUCCGCCAAGCCAAAUGUCUCAGGUAAUCAAAUGCGAUUUUUUCAAAACGAACAAUUACAUUUACAGUUUACUUAAUGUUUUCAUUCAUUUACACUCAUACGUUUUGUUGUACAACACAAGUAAACAUUAUAAAUGUGAUUCACUGGUUUUUGAGUCAAAAGGACUUUGCAGUGGUUUUCCUCUUUGUUAUAUCUGUACAGUAACGUGGUUUGAUCUGUUAGGUAGAUAAACGGCUUCUGCUGCAUGUUUGUGUGUCUUAAUAGUUUGUGGGUGAAGCGGUUUUUCCCUUCUAGUAUGAUAAACUAGUGCAUGUGCAUGCUUUCACUGCGUGAUUUAACCUAUUAUCAGUGCCAUUUAAAUCAACCUGAAAUGAUUUUGUCAUAUUAAAUAUGAUCUUUUAUAUUUAUACAUAUAUAAAACUUUUGUAUUUAUAUCAUUUGAUAAGGAAUAUCAUGCGAGUGAAAGUGCUGUUUUCUCGAAUAUCAGCAUGAUUGCAAAUGUGAUAUUGAUUUUAUGCAACAGGAAGUUAACAUCUUCGUAUCAGUUGACAGUGAAUCCAGUAAACUCCAUCUCUGCUGUGAGUUUAAUAUGCAUUUGGGAUACGCAACAUGUCCCAGUUACACAUUAUUUUCAUAUUAGCGUAAUUUCCAGCAUUUUUCUGGACACAGGUUUGAGUCCACGUUAAAUUCCAGGUACAAAGUGCAAAGUUGGACACUGAAAAUGUGUUGGAGCUCUUAAUUUUGGAUUUCCAAAGUGGGAACCACUGUAGUCUUAGCGCUAGUUUGAUAAACCGUUUGUAAGCUUUAUAAACACUGAACACGUGCAAGCAUGCUUUAGGCUGAGCUAGAGUGUCCUUGUGUAACUUAGCCACUCUUCUGCUAUUAGUCUUCAAUCAGGCCCAGAAUUCAUUUGAAAAUGUAAGAUCAGCAAAAGCUCAUUGAUUUUCAUGACGAUAAAUGAGAUGGACAUGUGAGCGGAAACACUGACUGAGGUCACAUCCAGAUAAAUAUCAAAGCUUAGUUGUAAGUGUUUUCAAACAUUUUAUGCAUCACUGUUGUGGGUUUUUCAGAGAACCGAUGAAGACAAUGUUUCUCAAAUUAGUUUUGCUCUGUUUGUGUUUCUGGCGUCUGGAUGGUGAGUUUGAAAUGUAUUUUUAUGGCUUCAGUUCUGGUAAAUUAUUAAAAGUACUUUAGUAAAGCUUCAUUAAACCAAGAUCAAGUGAUUUUAAAGCUUUAAUCCGUGAUAAACUCUCCAGGUGAGUUUGGUGAUACUCUGACACCAGUAUCCGUGAUGGAGGGAGAUUCAUUCACUCUAAACUCUGGUCUUACUGAAAUAACGGAUGAUGGUCUGAUUCUGUGGUUGUGUUUAAGUAAAAACACUUUAAUAGCUGAAAUCAAUAAACGGGCCGACAGCAUCUCUGUAUAUGAUGAUGUUCUUGAUGGGAGAUUCAGAGACAGACUGAAGCUGGACGAUCAAACUGGAUCUCUGACCAUCACAAACAUCACAACUGAAGAUACUGGAUUUUAUCAUCUACAAAUCAAUCGUAUGAAGAAGGUUUUCUAUCUCAUGGUCUAUGUGUUUGGUGAUGAAAUGAAGUCAGUGUCAGUGAAGGAGGGAGAUUCAGUCACUCUAAACUCUGGUCUUACUGAAAUAACGGAUGAUGGUCUGAUUCUGUGGUUGUUUGUAGAUGCUUUAAUAGCUUUUAUCAGCAAAGUGACUAACGUCUACACUAAUAACAAAGGAAAAUUCAGCAACAGACUGAAGCUGGAUCAUGAAACUGGAUCUCUGACCAUCACAGACGUCAAAAUGAUACAUUCUGGACGUUAUAAACUUCAGAUCAACAGCGUGGUCAAGAGUUUCAUUCUCACUGUCAAUGGUGGCACUGCAAAUGCACAGAUGCCAGUGUCAGUGAUGGAGGGAGGUUCAGUCACUCUAAACGCUGGUCUUCCUGAAAUACAGACUGAUGAUUUGAUUCAGUGGACAUUUGGAAAUAAAAACACCAUAAUAGCUGAUGUAUUGCUUGACAGAUUCUCUGUGUAUGAUGAUGUUCCUGAUGGGAGAUUCAGAAACAGACUGAAGCUGGAUGAUCAAACUGGAUCUCUGACCAUCACAGACACCAGAACUGAACAUGCUGGACUUUAUGAACUACAUGUCACACGUAUGAAGAUGAUUUUCACUCUUAAAGUCUAUGGUGUUACAGAUGCAGUGAAGUCAGUGUCAGUGCUGGAAGGGGAUUCAGUCACUCUAAACUCUGAUCUUACUGAAUUAGAUGAUGAUGUGUUUCAGUGGGUGUUCAUCAACUCUUUAAUAGCUCAUUUCAAUGUAAAGGCUGACCACAUUACUAUAUUUGAUUAUAAUGAUGGGAGAUUCAGAGACAGACUGAAGCUGGACAAAAAAACUGGAUCUCUGACCAUCGCAGACAUCAGAAUUGCACACUCUGGACUUUAUGAACUGCAGAGACCUGCCUACAGAGUGGCCAAAGACUGGAAAUUCAGUCUUACAGUCUAUGCUAGUCCACCCGUACCUGUCAUUAGCAGGGACUGUUCUUCAUCAUCAGUAUCGUCAAAGACCAAAUGUUCAUUUCUGUGCUCAAUGGUGAAUUUGGGUCAUGUGACUCUCUCCUGGUACAAAGGAAACAGUUUAUUGUCCAGCAUCAGUGUGUCUGAUCUCAGUAUUAGUCUCUCUCUACCUCUGGAGGUGGAAUAUCAGGAUAAAAACAGCUACAGCUGUGUGAUCAACAAUCCCAUCAGAAACCAGACUCAACAUCUCGACAUCACUCAACUCUGUCAACCAUGUACAGACUCUGAACACUGUUGUGGUUCUACUAAAGCUGUGUUCCGAUUGGUCGUAACUGCUCUGGUGGGCGUGUUUGCUGUGGCUGCUGUUGUUCUUUUGGUUUAUGACAUCAGAUCCAGAAGAGCUGAACAAUAUCGAGCACAUUUUCUCACAUAAGAAACCUAGAUCAUGAUGUAAUUUCUAAUAUUACCAUUUUAAUCAUUUAUUAAUCUUAAAUGAAUUUUUAUAUUAAUCUGCUGGUAUUGAUUGACAGCUCAUUUCCCCAUUAGAAGGGGAUUUAAGAACAAACAGCAACACAUUCUCACAUUAAUGCUCAAAAUAUUGAUAAAUACUGAAAAUUACCAAGAUUUUUUUGCUCACAAUUAAUAUAACAUGCUUUUUUAUAUGUACAAUUGAUUCUCUCAUAUUUGAUAAGGCAGUGAUGCUCCUCUACUGGCUAAACACAUGAAAGCACAUGAAAACAUAUCUCUCUUUGCUAUUUGCAGGGCUCCAGUGUCCUGUUCUCACGAACACAGUGCUCCUAGAAGCUUCCAGCUCUCAUUCCUCCGGUCUCUGCUGUCGAAUGAGCUAAACUGAUGAACGUUACUCAUCUGCUCUGUCUCAUCUGCUUCAACCUCUCAUUCUCUCACUCGGUUGCCGGCAUUCCUCGACCCUACGAGCUAAACUGUGGAACGUUACUCAUCUGCAGAAGAAGGACGUCUCCCUGCGCCCCUGUAUUGAUUACAGAGGUUUGAAUGACAUUACAAUAAAGAACAGGUACCCCCUACCUUUAAUGUCUUCUGCUUUUGAAUUGUUGCAGGGAGCUCGGGUCUUCAACAAGUUAGACCUGCACAACGCCUACCACUUGGUGCGCAUUCGGGUGGGGGAUGUGUGGAAGACUGUUUAACACCCCUUUGGGACACUAUGAGUACUUGGUUCUUCCGUUUGGUCUUACCAAUGCUCCAGCCAUUUUCCAGGGACUCGUCAACAGCGUGUUGGGGGACAUAAUUAAUCAAUUUGUCUUUGUGUAUUUGGAUGAUAGCUUGAUUUUCUCCCCCUCUCUCCAAUUACACACCCAGCAUGUCAGACGGGUUCUCCACUGGUUGCUAGAAAACAAGUUGUCAAGGCAGAAAAUUGCGAAUUCCACGCUGAGUCUGUUACAUUCCUUGGCCACAUAAUUUUUACGGGAGGGAUCAAACUUGAUCCCGCUAAGAUAGAAGCUGUCGCCCAGUGAC